CGCUGGCGGCGUGCCUAACACAUGCAAGUCGAACGGAGUCAAGAAGCUUGCUUUUGACUUAGUGGCGGACGGGUGAGUAACGCGUGAGUAACCUGCCUCUGAGAGGGGAAUAACGUUCUGAAAAGAACGCUAAUACCGCAUAACGUAUCGAAGCCGCAUGACUUUGAUACCAAAGAUUUUAUCGCUCGGAGAUGGACUCGCGUCCGAUUAGUUAGUUGGUGAGGUAACGGCUCACCAAGACCGCGAUCGGUAGCCGGACUGAGAGGUUGAUCGGCCACAUUGGGACUGAGACACGGCCCAGACUCCUACGGGAGGCAGCAGUGGGGGAUAUUGCGCAAUGGGGGCAACCCUGAACCGCAGCAACGCCGCGUGAAGGAUGAAGGUUUUCGGAUUGUAAACUUCUUUUAUCAGGGACGAAAUCUGACGGUACCUGAUGAAUAAGCUCCGGCUAACUACGUGCCAGCAGCGGC
rnacentral:rRNA from 1 species